GUGUACAAUUACCUGUGUGUACACUAGCGUACGUAAAACAAAAUAUUUGCUUUAAAACGGUGAAUUUAAAUGACAGUAGUACGGGUUGAAUUUUAUCGUUUAAACUACAGCACAAUUAACUUCACAAAAUAUCCACAAUAAAAAAUUGUUUAAGUUUAUUAUCAGAAUUCGAUGUAAUUAGAGUAAUAUUUUGUCUAUUAUAUACUACAUCUUUAUUCAUGAACUUGAGCCCUUACUAGAAAUCUUGGUUUUCAUUUCCAACAAUUAAUGUACUCGAUAUCAAUCCUUAUCAUUUGCACAUAAGUGCACAUGUGGACACUAUAGUUAAUCAUUGCGCAAUAAGUCAAAUGGUUAAGUAACUUAGGGUAAGUUAAAAAAGAAACAUCUGUAGCCAUGUAAAUUGUAAUAUUUACAGUAAAACUUAAACCAAAGAUGUCAUAAAAAAUAAAGAAUGGCUACACAAGUUUCUUUAGAAAGUACACUAGUAAUAUGAAAAUUGAACUUGUGAAGUUUGAGAAAAAUAUAUUAGUAAGCGAGUACCGAUUUAUUGUUCCAUUUAUGUCCCCAUUGUUAUGUUAAUGAUUAAAGUGAUCGAAAUAUC
rnacentral:misc_RNA from 1 species